CUGGUUGUUGCAGAGUGAGUAGACGAUGGUUACUGGUUGUUACAGAGUGAGUAGACAAUGGUUACUGGUUGUUACAGAGUGAGUAGACGAUGGUUAUUGGUUGUUACAGAAUGAGUAGACGAUGGUUACUGGUUGGUACAGAGUGAGUAGACGAUGGUUACUGGUUGUUACAGAGAGAGUAGACGAUGGUUACUGGUUGUUACAGAGUGAGUAGACGAUGGUUACUGGUUGCUACAGAGUGAGUAGACGAUGGUUACUGGUUGUUGCAGAGUGAGUAGACGAUGGUUACUGGUUGUUACAGAGUGAGUAGACGAUGGUUACUGGUUGUUGCAGAGUGAGUAGACGAUGGUUACUGGUUGUUACAGAUGUGCCCCUGUCCCUCUCUCUCUAUUGGUGUCAGUAUUUUCCCCUGUCUCUCUCUCUAUUGGUGUCAGUAUGUUCCCCUGUCUCUCUCUCU
rnacentral:lncRNA from 1 species